rnacentral:rRNA from 1 species
CCUACGGGAGGCAGCAGUGGGGAAUCUUGCGCAAUGGGCGAAAGCCUGACGCAGCAACGCCGCGUGCGGGAAGAAGGCUUUCGGGCUGUAAACCGCUUUCAGCAGGAACGAAAAUGACGGUACCUGCAGAAGAAGGAGCGGCCAACUAUGUGCCAGCAGCCGCGGUGAUACAUAGGCUUCAAGCGUUGUCCGGAUUUAUUGGGCGUAAAGAGUUCGUAGGCGGUCGAGUAAGUCGGGUGUGAAAAUUCUGGGCUCAACCCAGAGACGCCACCCGAUACUGCUUAACUUGAGUUCGAUAGGGGAGUGGGGAAUUCCUAGUGUAGCGGUGAAAUGCGCAGAUAUUAGGAGGAACACCGGUGGCGAAGGCGCCACUCUGGAUCGAUACUGACGCUGAGGAACGAAAGCAUGGGUAGCAAACAGGAUUAGAUACCCUGGUAGUCCAUGCCGUAAACGGUGGGCACUAGGUGUGGGAGUCUAUACGUAACUACGUCGCCGUCGCUACGCAUAGUCGCCCGCCGUCGGGUAGGUACGGUCGCGAGAACGUAAACGUUAAACGGUAAAGUUAGUAACGGUCGUGUUAGACGUGCCGAACGGACGACGACGAGGGAGGAGG